UGGGGAAUAUUGGACAAUGGGCGAAAGCCUGAUCCAGCGAUGCCGCGUGUGUGAAGAAGGCCUGCGGGUUGUAAAGCACUUUCAGUAGGGAAGAAAAGCCGAGUGCCAAUACCACUCGGUCUUGACGUUACCUAAAGAAGAAGCACCGGCUAACUCCGUGCCAGCAGCCGCGGUAAUACGGAGGGUGCGAGCGUUAAUCGGAAUUACUGGGCGUAAAGGGCGCGUAGGCGGUGAAGUAAGUCGGGUGUGAAAGCCCCGGGCUCAACCUGGGAACUGCCUCCGAUACUGCUUCGCUAGAGUAUGGUAGAGGGAAGCGGAAUUCCGGGUGUAGCGGUGAAAUGCGUAGAUAUCCGGAGGAACACCAGUGGCGAAGGCGGCUUCCUGGACCAAUACUGACGCUGAGGCGCGAAAGCGUGGGGAUCAAACAGG
rnacentral:rRNA from 1 species